GAAAUGCGAUAAGUAGUGUGAAUUGCAUAAUUCAGUGAAUCAUCGAAUCUUUGAACGCACAUUGCGCUCCUCGGUAUUCCGUGGGGCAUGCCUGUUCGAGCGUCAUCUACACCCUCAAGCUCUGCUUGGUGUUGGGCGUCUGUCCCGCCUUCGCGCGUGGACUCGCCCCAAAUGCAUUGGCAGCGGUCCUUGCCCCCUCCCGCGCAGCACAUUGCGCUUCUCGAGGCUGCGGCGGCCCGCGUCCAACAAUCUGAACCCCCCCGUCUUUGACCUCGGAUCAGGUAGGGAUACCCGCUGAACUUAAGC
rnacentral:misc_RNA from 1 species